rnacentral:lncRNA from 1 species
AAUCAACAAGCCAUGAAAACAAGCAACCCUAUUUCAACCAUUAAAAAGUUAAGAAUUGGUGGAUUUUAUUCUUCGUGUGUUUAAUUUCCAUGGGAAUAUACUAUACAGGGUGUCCCAAAAAAAAGUACCCUCUAUAGAAAUUAUCCUAUUGUUUUUAAGCACAGGAUUUCAUGCUCCUGGUAAUUAAAAAUUCAAUUCAAUUGUGUUUACGCACUCUUGUAUUCAGCAUAGUGCUCAGGCAUUCAAAUUAUAACAAUAGGACAAUUUCUAUACCCUGUACUGGUACUUCGUUUAUUAUGUUAAAUUUUUUUUAUUUUGCACAAGCGUAAAGGAUUUUAUUUUUUUCCGUAUUUUUAAUUCCCAGGGGAAUAUACUAUGCUUUGUUUUCAUGUUGAUGGUGAUUUCAUAGUGGAAAUUUGACUUUAUAAUUAUGAAUCCUCUUUGAUUAAAUAUGAUAAGUAUCUUGUCACUUGCGGGUUUGAGAGCAGCUGCGACGUGCCAUGCAAAUGUCAAGCCGUUCCGGUUAAAUGAGUAUGAGAAUUGCGG